AUGUACAUUAUUUUCUGCAAUGCAACCUACCUUCCCCGCCUGACACCCUAUAAAGUUUAUGACUGUCUCGACCCAAAACAGCAAACACCAAACAAGCCUAGCUAUCAGUCAGAGGGACUUACUUGUCCUAUGGCUUUGUAUUCGGAGAUCAAGGGAAUAAUUGUGAGGUCCGAUCGAUUAGAACCAAGGAAUCCCAAAGGUUGGGAAGGCUUUCAUGGCGAAGUGACAGGCGAAGAUAAAUGCUGGAAGAUUGACCAUGACCGAGUACAAGAGACAGCCCAAAGAGGAUAUGUGUCCACAAUCAAGAUAGAACCCAGGGAACUAACAAAUGAACAGGAAUCCGAGACAAACCUGCCAAAUUUUUCAAGUCGUCCAAAAAGAAAACAAAAUCCGAAAAGAAUUAUACGCCUGCAUGAUUCCCAAAACCAUUAUCAAAAUGAUACAGGGAGUUUUGAAAGUGAAACAGAGGAACAAUAUUCCAAUUUGACUCCAAAAGAAGAAUUUGUAGAGGAGAAACAGGUGGUUGAAGACAGUGGAGAUACUGAUGAAUUCCAGCUAUGGUCAGCACAGAUUAAAUCCGAAUUAUACUCUCACAAUCCUGAAGAAGAUGAAGAUUUGUUUGGGGAAACAGAGUCCAAUCAGGAUAAUGUUGACAUGGAAACCAGACACUCCUCCCCAGGGCAAGUAGAAACCCCUCCAAGGAAAGUUUUAAAGCUCGAGAAUAAAAGGGUGACACAGAGUCUUAGACACAGUGAAAGCAAAGUAUUUCAGUGCAGUAAGUGUGGUUCAGGGUUCAGCAGUAAGAAAUCUCAGAUGAGACAUGAGCGGUACAAUUGUGGGGACAUUCCUCAUUUUGAGUGUAACGUGUGUGGGAAAUUCUAUUCCAGGGCAGACAGUAAAACUAGGCACCUAUGGAAAAUACAUGGUAUUAAAAUUUCCACCCCAGAUAAAAAUAAUCCUACCGAUUUUCCAUAACAUUUUGCAAAGAAUUCUUUCAAACUUGAUAAUUUACAAAGAUUAGUAUGUAUAACAGUAAAAGAAAGACAUAUCAUUUUUUUUAACACUUGUUAAUGUCUUUAUAAUUUAUAUGAUAACCCUAUGGUAUUUAAAAUGUAGAAGUAUAGUACAAAUACCUGUGGGUUAGAAGUUUGCAUGGACUGUGGAUAUUACAUGUAGCUUGGGUGGCUCAGUGCUAGAGCACCUUACUACAAUGAUGCAAAUGGUCCCAGGUUUUAUUCUGGGCCAGACACAAAUUAUCCAGCCUUUUCACUUAGUUGUGUAAAUGUAUUUACUAAAUGUUAUUAUUUUUCGUUGUUACAAUUAUGUGUAUGUUAUUGGUAGCAUCACUCGUUUUACCAGGGCAAAAGUGCCAGUAUGUAUGAUUUUGGUAGCUCUCUGACUUUCUCGUUGGAAAAAAAAUCAUUGAUGCUCUGUAUUAUACAUUGUAACAUUCAAUUUGAAACUAUUUUUAAAUUCAAGAACAAUUAAGAAUUGACCCGUGACUAUUAAUUGGUAUCAUACAAAUGUAGAUUGUAUAAAUGGAAUUUUCUUUUGAUAGAUACUUGAGCACAAUAGUAGUAUACAUUGUAUUCUGUCAAUUUCUGUGACAUUUUACUUAAGAGAAGUUGAUUCCAGGUCUUAUGGUAACAAGGCUCUCGGUAAUCUUAAUAUAGCUGGUAUUGUUUAUAUAUUUGAGCAAGAUAUUUUGCCCAGUUUGUGCGUCAUAUCGAUUUUCAGGAUUAUGAAUCCGUCAUUUAGCUGUCAUUGUCUUAAUGUAAGAGGUCUUGAGGAGAAUAUACAAUGUAGCGGUACAUGUACAUGUACAUGUAUAUGUAGUAUAUUUCAAUGGUAUACA
rnacentral:sRNA from 1 species